AGUCAAAAAUUGAAGAAAUAAAAACUUUGUCUCUCUCUCUCUCUCUCUUACGUGCAUUUCCUUUUGAAAUAAUAAUUUGCUUCCUGUCUGAAUUACAGGGAUUGGAACAUCAAUAGUCAAAAAGAUUGGAAAAUCAGUCGGACAGUCUAUGGAGGAUUUGAAAUAAUUCAAAAUUCAUGUGAAUUAAUCCACAUGAUCGAGGUUCGUCUGACGGAAGAUGAAUUAACAACGAGGCGACAUUUUUUCUAAAUCAUGCUUCGCCAUUCUUGUUUAAAUUUUCACCCACGUUUCACGAUUUCCUUAUUUUUAAAUAAAAUUAUGAAAUUAUUUUCUCAACGUAGAAAAGCCCGAGUUUUAGGUAAUAGUGGCGAAAAUAGAGGCAGAGAAACAGAGGAAAAAGAUACGCUAAGGGAGACGAGACUGCGUCCUUCGGACGGCAAGAAUCGAGACGAGAGAACGUCCCACGAGCACUGCGCGAGUGAAUUCUCUUACGCAGUCAUGUCCUAGGGACCACAGGCUCAGUGCAACCCACCAUUGUUUCCUGUGGACCACCCUCACAAGACUUAUCUUUUCCGAAGGAGAAAAAAGCGAACAACAUUUUUCCCUCGCAGGGAAAUAUUAGAUCGAAUAAACAACAUUGAAAUAUUUAAUGGCAUGAUCUUUGAUGACGACGAAAAGGAUCAGAUGAGUCCGAGGAAAGUAGAGAGGCUUCGAGAAAUAAAGAUAAAAAGACAGGGCACGUGUGCCUAUCGCGUGCUACUAAAUAUAUGGCUAUUUUCGACUCAAUUAUAGAAGGAUGCAUUACCAACGAUUAUUAUACAGUAUAUAAUUCAACCCUCCUCUUUACCCGGUCGUUUCGUGCUGUAUUUGGAUCGCAUGCUAACAAAUAAAUGAGCUACUGAUGCAAAUAUCAUUUUCGUCUGA